UACGAAGGGGGCUAGCGUUGUUCGGAAUUACUGGGCGUAAAGCGCACGUAGGCGGACUAUUAAGUCAGGGGUGAAAUCCCGGGGCUCAACCCCGGAACUGCCUUUGAUACUGGUAGUCUCGAGUCCGGAAGAGGUGAGUGGAAUUCCGAGUGUAGAGGUGAAAUUCGUAGAUAUCGGGAGGAACACCAGUGGCGAAGGCGGCGACCUGGGCUGACACUGACGCUGAGGUUCGAAAGCGUGGGGAGCAAACAGG
rnacentral:rRNA from 1 species